UACGUAGGGUGCGAGCGUUAAUCGGAAUUACUGGGCGUAAAGCGUGCGCAGGCGGUUCGUUAAGUUCGAUGUGAAAGCCCCGGGCUCAACCUGGGAACUGCAUUGGAAACUGGCGAGCUUGAGUAUGGCAGAGGGGGGUGGAAUUCCGCGUGUAGCAGUGAAAUGCGUAGAGAUGCGGAGGAACACCGAUGGCGAAGGCAGCCCCCUGGGCCAAUACUGACGCUCAGGCACGAAAGCUAGGGGAGCAAACGGG
rnacentral:rRNA from 1 species